GGAGGCAUAGCCCAGUUGGUUAGAGCGCUACGUUGACAUCGUAGAGGUCACAAGUUCGAGUCUUGUUGUCUCCACCA
rnacentral:tRNA from 3 species